rnacentral:rRNA from 1 species
UACGUAGGGUCCGAGCGUUGUCCGGAAUUAUUGGGCGUAAAGGGCUCGUAGGCGGUUCGUCACGUCGGGAGUGAAAACUCGGGGCUUAACCCCGAGCCUGCUUCCGAUACGGGCAGACUAGAGGUAUGCAGGGGAGAACGGAAUUCCUGGUGUAGCGGUGGAAUGCGCAGAUAUCAGGAGGAACACCGGUGGCGAAGGCGGUUCUCUGGGCAUUACCUGACGCUGAGGAGCGAAAGCAUGGGGAGCGAACAGG